rnacentral:rRNA from 1 species
AACGGCGAGUGAAGCGGCAAGAGCUCAAAUUUGAAAUCCGGCCCCCCUGGGGGCCUGAGUUGUAAUUUGCAGAGGAUGCUUCGGGCGCGACCGCGGUCCAAGUCCCCUGGAACGGGGCGUCGUAGAGGGUGAGAAUCCCGUCUCCGGCCGGCCGGUCUCGCCCGUGUGAAGCUCCUUCGACGAGUCGAGUUGUUUGGGAAUGCAGCUCCAAAUGGGUGGUAAAUUUCAUCUAAAGCUAAAUACUGGUCGGAGACCGAUAGCGCACAAGUAGAGUGAUCGAAAGAUGAAAAGCACUUUGAAAAGAGAGUUAAACAGCAUGUGAAAUUGUUCAAAGGGAAGCGCUUGCGACCAGAGUCGGCCGCGGGGGUUCAGCGGGCAUUCGUUGCCCGUGCAAUCCCCCGCGGCCGGGCCAGGGUCGGUUUCGACGGCCGGUCAAAGGCCCCCGGAAUGUGUCGCCUCUCGGGGCGUCUUAUAUCCGGGGGUGCAAUGCGGCCAGUCGGGACCGAGGAACGCGCUCCGGCACGGACGCUGGCUUAAUGGUCGUCAGCGACC